CCUACGGGGGGCAGCAGUGGGGAAUAUUGGACAAUGGGGGCAACCCUGAUCCAGCCAUGCCGCGUGUGUGAAGAAGGCCCUCGGGUUGUAAAGCACUUUCAGUGAGGAAGAACGCCUGGUGGUUAAUACCCAUCAGGAAAGACAUCACUCACAGAAGAAGCACCGGCUAACUCCGUGCCAGCAGCCGCGGUAAUACGGAGGGUGCGAGCGUUAAUCGGAAUUACUGGGCGUAAAGCGCGCGUAGGUGGCUUGAUAAGCCGGUUGUGAAAGCCCCGGGCUCAACCUGGGAACGGCAUCCGGAACUGUCAAGCUAGAGUGCAGGAGAGGAAGGUAGAAUUCCCGGUGUAGCGGUGAAAUGCGUAGAGAUCGGGAGGAAUACCAGUGGCGAAGGCGGCCUUCUGGACUGACACUGACGCUGAGGUGCGAAAGCGUGGGUAGCAAACAGGAUUAGAUACCCCGGUAGUC
rnacentral:rRNA from 1 species